AGACUACUCCCUCUGUCCCAAAAUGUAAGCAAAAAUAGGUCAACAUAAGUUGAUGUAUCUGGUACAAAUUUUGAACAAAAUACAUUAACUUUUGUUGACCAAUUUUUGCUUACAUUUUGGGUCAGAGGGAGUAUGUU
rnacentral:pre_miRNA from 2 species